rnacentral:lncRNA from 1 species
GACAACCUACUCGGGUUUUCUUCAACACUGUGGAAGGUUUCUUUGUUCUUUUGUUCUUUGCAAUAAAUCUUGCUACUGUUCACUCUUUGGGUCCACGUUGCUUUCAUGAGCUGUAACAUUGUCUGCGAAGAUCUGUAGGUUCACUCUGUAGGUUCACUCCUGAGCCCGGCGAGACCACGAGGUCAGCGGGAGGAAAAACAACUCCAGACGCGCUGCCUUAAGAGCUGUAACACUCACCACGAAAGUCUACAGCUUCACUCCUGAGCCAGCGAGACCACAAACCCACCAGAAGAAAGAAACUCCGACCACAUCUGAACAUCAGAAGGAACAGACUCCAGACGUGCCACCUUAAGAGCUGUAACACUCACCAUGAGGGUCCGCGGCUUCGUUCUUCAAGUCAGUCAGACCAAGAACCCACCAACUCCGGACACAGUGGCAUGUGCCUGUAGUCCCACCUAUGAAGGAGAAUGAGGUGGGGGACUGUUUGAGCCCAGGAGGUUGAAGCUACAGUGAGCCAUGAUCGUGCCACUGAACUCCAGUCUGGGCAAAACAGUAAGUCUCUAUUUUUGUCACCUAAGAGUAAAGAAGUUUUUUUUUGUUUGUUUCUUUGUUUUUUGAGAUAGUCUUGCUCUGUUGCCCAGGCUGGAGUGCGGUGGCGUGAUCUCGGGUCACUGAAAGCUCUGCCUCCUGGGUUCACACCAUUCUCCUGCCUCAGCCUCCCUAGUAGCUGGGACUACAGGCACCCACCACUGCGCCCGGCUAAUUUUUUGUGUUUUUUUAGUAGAGAUGGGGUUUCAUCCUGUUAGCCAGAAUAGUCUUGAUCUCCUGACCUGGUGAUUGGCCCGCCUCGGCCUACCAAGGUGCUGGAAUGACAGGCGUGAGCCACCGCGCCCGGCCUAAGAGUAAAGAAGUUCUUAACCAGAAAUGCAAAAGUACAGAUCCCAAGAAAAAGAAACAUAACUGAAUUUUAUUUUAUCAAUAUUAAGGAUUUCUGUUCAAUGUAGAUAUUGUGGACAAGAUACUUGAUGCUGG